rnacentral:rRNA from 1 species
CCUACGGGCGGCAGCAGUAGGGAAUCUUCCACAAUGGGCGAAAGCCUGAUGCAGCAACGCCGCGUGGAUGAAGAAGGUCUUCGGAUCGUAAAACCCUGUUGUUAGAGAAGAAAGUGCUUGAGAGUAACUGUUCACGUUUCGACGGUAUCUAACAAGAAAGCCACGGCUAACUACGUGCCAGCAGCCGCGGUAAUACGUAGGUGGCAAGCGUUAUCCGGAUUUAUUGGGCGUAAAGGGAACGCAGGCGGUCUUUUAAGUCUGAUGUGAAAGCCUUCGGCUUAACCGUAGUAGUGCAUUUGAUACUGGCAGACUUGAGUGCAGAAGAGGAGAGCGGAACUCCAGGUGUAGCGGUGAAAUGCGUAGAUAUAUGGAAGAACACCAGUGGCGAAGGCGGCUCUCUGGUCUGUAACUGACGCUGAGGUUCGAAAGCGUGGGUAGCAAACAGGAUUAGAUACCCGGGUAGUC